CAGAUCCAUCUUGAGCCUCCGCGGCCUCUUCACGCGGACUGCCAACCCUGAGUCUACCUUGAGGCCACCAGCACUGGUCACUUUUCAUCGCUGUGAGGUCACUUCCUUCCCUGGCAAACAACCUGAGCGGAAGGUGAGUUCAUUUGGCACGCGGCAGGGAUAACACAGUGACGAGGACAGCUCGUGUCACGGCGGCCAGACAGCAGGGAGACUGAAUGCCUGCCUGCACCAGCGCCUUUCUUCUUUCCUCCCUUUACUACGCGCCAACCUCCAGUCUAGGGAUGGCGCUGCCUGCAGAAUCCCUCAGGACAGCGGUGUGCUUUGCUCAUCUCCUAGCCCGUCUUGGUGUCGUCAAACGACCAGUACCAACCAACAUACCGCCCCAGUCUGCACACAGCCGACUGCCUACCUGUUACUGACUUGACUGAACAGCGCCCUCUGGAGUCGCCAUGAUUCCGACUCAGCACGUGGCCCACCGGCUCCUCCCACCGCCAACCCUUGCUCCUGCAGACAUCGCCCCCACCAGAAAUGAUUCCAAAUUCCCCGCGCUGUUGGGGUUUUGGAUUGGGGGAUGUUGUUUGUUUGUUUAGCAAAAUGGGUGCAGACACAACAGAAGAAGAGCUACAGGACCUGGAAGGGAGCGAAGACAGGGGGUGGCUGUUGGCAUUUCUGAGUCGGCUGUCAGUUUCACUAGAGUGACAAAGACGCUGCUUACAGGAAAAGGAAGAGGACCGGAACCAUGUCCUCCAUGAAGCCACAAACUGUAGCACCCAAGGAUGUCCCUGAGCAUCUAAUUCUCCUGGGUCAUACUUAAGGAUGACCGGGGUUUUCUGAAUUAAAACACACUAAACAGCCAAGCACAAUUUUAUGCCAAGCUGGCAAACUGACUUCGCUCUUAACCUUGUUUCGAGUUUCCCUGUUGGGGUUUAAUGUUAAUUGCAGCUAACCAUCCCACAAAUCUGAUACCUGCAUGACCCUUUGCUACAGGAACUUACCCUGGCCCGUGACAUUACCAGCCGGCAAUUCAAACACUGUA